CCCUCAUUCUGAUACCUGUCAUGCCCAAACUGCUCUCAAAGGCUCAUGUGCUGUUACCUCCUGAGAGUCUGCGUAUCAGUAUGUUUCUGUGCUAAUGUAAUUGAUUGAGUAAUGUGGGAAGAGCAACAGGCAAAGGGCAGGAUACUGGAAGCUGGGUAUAGGGUCCCCUUACCUGAUUUAUGUUGCUGAUUUUCCCAAAUACUGAUAAAAAUGAAUUGAUCUCUAGGUGGAAAACAGGAGGAACCCCAGACUACAUAGUAAGUAGAAAAUGAAAUAAAUGCUGCAUGUCAUUUAGAUAGAGCUCAGCCCUGAGUCACGAAGUCUUUUCAGAACAAAGGAAUAGUUCUCCCUUAUCUGAAGCUCACUGUGGCCUUGGGAAGCCUGGCAUUGAGAAUUCUCUGCGUGUUCACUCUUGAGUUCUGUGCCUGCAUCACACAGCAAUAGAACAGUCCCAAAGGAUUCUUAAGGGUGGGGAAAGGCACUAAGAGAAGAUGAACCUGUAGCCCCUGUUAUACCAUCUGGUCUAAUUGAUACUGCUGUUAUCAAGCAAAAGGAGCUGUCUCCCUGAGGCACUGGAAGCCAAUAUUUUGACACCAGGUUUUUGAGAAAGAAAAACUUUUUAUUGCAGAGCCAGGUGUACAGGAUGGAGCAUGAAGGCGGACUAGGAGCGUGACCACUGAAGCACAGCAUCACAGGGAGAUGAUUAGGCCUCCGGAUAACUGCGGGAGGGCCUGACAUCAGUCAGGCCCUCCACAAGAGGUGGAGGAAUAGAGUCUUCUCUGAACUCCUCUGGGGAAAGGGAGACUUUCCCUAGCGGGUGUUUUUCCUUGACACUGACGCUACCGCUAGACCACGGUUCGCUUGGCAACAGGCAUCUUCCCAGACGCUGGCAUUACUGCUAGACCAGGAAGCCCUCUAGUGGCCCUGUCUGGGCAUAACAGAAGGCUCACACUUGUCUUCCAGUCACUUCUCACUAUGUCCCCUCAGCUCCUAUCUCUGGCCUGGUUGUUCCUAGGUUAUAAGUGUAGAGCAAGGAUUAUUAUAAGAUUGAAAUAAAGAGUAAUUGCUACAAA